rnacentral:lncRNA from 1 species
AUUUAAAGCAUCAGGAGGACUUCCUUUGAUCAUGUGAGGAUUUCAGACCAGAAGAUGAAAGAUGUGCUGUGUUUGAUUAACAGUAUACCUUUGCCACAGAAAUCAUCAACUCAGUCUCCAGAGAGACAGGUAUCGUCAGUUCCUGUUGCUUCAAGUGGGACAAAAGUUCUCCUUGGUACUUCAUUAUUGCUGAGUGAAAUGGAUUCAGAGUCUGACGAUGAGUAUUUCGACGCUGAAGACGGUGCCUCCCAGGUGCCUAGAGGUGCGCCAGGCUCCGAACCCCGAAAGGCUGCGGAGGUUCCGAACGAGGCCCUCGUUAAUCUUCUGCUCAAGUUUGAAGUUAAAGAAGUAUGUGUACUUUUUGUCUAUGAAUGUAUUCUUGUCAUCAUUAAACUGUUUCAUGGUAGACCACACAUCAGGUUAGG